rnacentral:snRNA from 1 species
GUUCUUGCUUCAGCGGCACAGAUACUAAAAUUAAAAUAGUGCAGAGAAGAUUAGCCCAUGUGAAAAUGUGAUGUCCAAAUUCUUGAAACAUUCCAUAUUUUG